rnacentral:rRNA from 1 species
GACGAACGCUGGCGGCGUGCUUAACACAUGCAAGUCGAACGGAAAGGCCCUGCUUUUGUGGGGUGCUCGAGUGGCGAACGGGUGAGUAACACGUGAGUAACCUGCCCUUGACUUUGGGAUAACUUCAGGAAACUGGGGCUAAUACCGGAUAGGAGCUCCUGCUGCAUGGUGGGGGUUGGAAAGUUUCGGCGGUUGGGGAUGGACUCGCGGCUUAUCAGCUUGUUGGUGGGGUAGUGGCUUACCAAGGCUUUGACGGGUAGCCGGCCUGAGAGGGUGACCGGCCAGCAUGGGACUGAGAGACGGACCAGACGGCUACGGGAGGCAGCAGUGGGGGAGAUUGCACAAUGGGCGGGAGCCUGAUGCAGCAACGCCGCGUGGGGGAGGAAGGCCGGAGGGGAGUAGACCGCUUUCGCCGGUGACGAAGCGUGAGUGACGGUAAGGGGUAAAGAAGCACCGGCUAACUACGUG